AGUAACGAAAACGAAAUUUUAUUACUUAAAAGAGAAAAUCAGUAUCUAAAAAAUGAACUUGAAAACAAAAGGCGGCAAUUUUCAUGCGAAAUCAACGUGUUCACGAAAACACUAACAAGCAUCAACGAGCAUUGAAUGUUACUAACACGGAUAUUGAUCACCUUUGGUCUUCAUUUAAUGAAACAAUAGAAAAACUGACGAAUGGUGUCGACAAGUUAGAAGAGUUUGAAAGGCGAAGGUCUGAGGAUAACAUUACAGAAUAUAUUGACAAAUCAGACACUUCAUGCAGCAGUUCACCUUGUUUGAAUGGUGGAAUAUGCACAACGACCGGAAGCAGUUAUAAUUGUUCCUGUCUGCCUGAAUAUAUUGGAUACAUGUGUCAAGUACAAAUGUCAUGUAAAGAUGGUUGGAAAAGGGAUGCAAACAACUGUAACUACUUCAGUAC